rnacentral:lncRNA from 1 species
AAAAAACCUUGGAAAAGAAGGAUUUAAAAGAGAAGUCCUGAGUUUCCAGUAGCGGAUUUUGACCAGGUCUUAUUUAAAUACUAGGGUUACUUUUUAAUUGCUAUCAUUCCCUGAUUGCUCACAGAUGUAACAUUUUCUGUUUGCUGAGCAAUAAAGAGGCGCCACUUUUUUUGAGGAGCAACCUUCUUCAUGCUAUGAUCAAGAUCAAACAUAAAGAGACAUCAGCAUCUUUUUCAUCUCCAUGGAUCCAGUUACCUGUGUGGCCCAUGAGAUACUCCUGAAUCAUCAUGGCAUCAUGCUUGGAGGGGAGUGACAUCAUUUCUGUGGCAGCACUUUCCAGGAUCCUUCCAGAUGGACGUAAUUAUAGAUGAAAAACACACCACAGGAGGAGACCACCUGUGGUCAUGAGAAUUUAAAAUGUGACAUGUGUAGAUUAAUAUUGCCCUGAAAAUCUAACUUCCCGAGUAAUUUUCAGUUCUUUCAAGAUGGAGUAUUCUCUCUCCUCGCUGAUGAUUUAGGAUAAUUGGAUGCCGUAAGGGGGCCUUGAGACAUCCUAUUUAAAGAGCCCUGCCUGACUACAUGAUUCACGCUGAAAGAGAAGUAGAUUAAACUUCAUGCCACUUGCAUAAAUUCCUAGUCUCUGAGAGUUUAUCUUUUCUCUUAGGAGUCUGCAAACUACAGUCCUCAAGCUAAAUCUGAC